rnacentral:rRNA from 1 species
AUACGGAGGAUGCGAGCGUUAUCCGGAUUUAUUGGGUUUAAAGGGUGCGUAGGCGGACGAUUAAGUCAGCUGUGAAAUGCCCGCGCUUAACGCGGGAAGUGCAGUUGAUACUGGUUGUCUGGAGUGCCGUUGCCGUGGGGGGAAUGUGUAGUGUAGCGGUGAAAUGCAUAGAUAUUACACAGAACGCCGAUUGUGAAGACACCUCACGAAGCGGUAACUGACGCUGAGGCACGAAAGCGUGGGGAUCGAACAGGAUUAGAUACCCUGGUAGUCCACGCAGUAAACGAUGAUGACUAACCGUCGGCGAUACACAGUCGGCGGCUAAGCGAAAGCGAUAAGUUAUCCACCUGGGGAGUACGUUCGCAAGAAUGAAACUCAAAUGAAUUGACGGGG